AGGAUAAAUAUUUAUGUGGAAACAAAUUUGAAGUCAACGAGUAGCAUCAUUUGUUUCUGUCAAUAUUCCAUAGUCCAAACACUGUAGUGUAAGUAUACCAGUUCAACUCAAUCUCAUUCGUCAAUUACUUGAAGAAAAUCUGGACCGCCACUUAGGUUGUCACCUUUUAUCUUUAAAUUGGACUUGAUCACACUUGAUAAUUCUCAACGCACGCCAUUUUUUCCAACAGAUUCCCGGAAAAAACAAGGCCUCCAUAAUCCGACGGCUAAAGCCCUCACAUCUAAAUUCCACGAAUCUCAGCCGUUAAAUGCAAUUUUCGAAAUUGGACCGUACGAUUAGAUAAUAAAGAUAAUCUCACCGUCAUUUACAAAAAUUGAAUUUCAAAACCCAGCCAGAGAGGGAGGAGUGACUCAAACGCACCUACCCUCUUCACUCUCUCGUCUCCUAUACAUACACAAAUAUACGUAUACGAAUAUGGAUUUUUGAACAUAUACACGGAUCGAGUGGGUUUUUGAUUGAGGUUUAGCGGAAGCGGGAUUUUGUACAAUAGUGUUUUGACAGAUUUUUCGUUUGAAUCUGAGCUACGCGAGCAAUGAAAUAAUGAAAUUAUGCUUCGUUCAAGUUUAAUGAUUUUAUGAGAUUUCUGUUUCAAAUUCGUUCGAUUUCGGGGAUUCUUGUGAAGAAUACACUUAAAUUCAACUUCUAUUUAUUGGAUUUAUUAUAGAAGUUUGUUAUUUGGUGGAUUUCGUUGUUUUCGAUUUUUUGAAUGGAGCAGGAGGGAGGGGAGCUCCCUCCAAAAAGUUCACAACAACUGGAGGCUACUCCGGUAGAGACGGCAACGGAUAUUUCUGCGAGGAAGCCGGCCAGACAGCUGGAUUUCAGUGGUGGCGCAUUGACAUCAGCAAGUGUGACGAUGAUGGAGCACCAUCAGCCACAGCAAAUACCAAAGCCGAGCCAUCCACCGCAGCAGCCACAGUUAGUGAAGCCAAGACAGCUGCCGAAGCCACCGCAGCUGCAGCCACAGAUGGUACUUAUGUCGAUGCAACAACCUCCGCCAUCUAGUCAUCCUUCUGCGCGGCCUGUUGUGAAACCCGAAUCCCCGAGAGCUAGGUCAAGGCAGAACGUAAAUGAAGUAAAAGAUGGUACUCCAAAAAAGCAAAAGCAGUGUAACUGCAAACACUCACGAUGUUUGAAGUUGUACUGUGAAUGCUUUGCAUCUGGAGUAUAUUGUGAUGGAUGCAACUGUGUGAAUUGUCACAACAAUGUUGAAAAUGAAGCCGCCAGAAGCGAAGCAGUUGAAGCUACACUGGAGCGUAAUCCAAAUGCCUUCAGGCCAAAAAUUGCUAGCAGUCCUCAUGGAAAUCGGGAUAUAAGGGAGGAUGCUAGGGAUUUAAUCUUGGGUAAGCAUAAUAAAGGAUGCCACUGCAAGAAAUCGGGAUGCCUUAAGAAGUAUUGUGAGUGCUUCCAAGCAAAUAUUCUUUGUUCUGAUAAUUGUAAAUGCAUAGACUGCAAAAAUUAUGAAGGAAGUGAAGAGAGGCAGGCUCUCUUUCAUGGAGAUCAUGCCAACAACAUGGUGUAUAUUCAGCAAGCGGCGAAUGCUGCCAUCACAGGUGCUAUUGGAUCCUCUGGUUAUGGAUCUCCUCCUCUGAACAAGAAAAGAAAAGGUCAGGAGCUCUUCUUUGGAGGAAAAGAUCCCGUCCAUGGGGUUGGGCAAUUCCAACAGGCUGACCAAAUCAAGGCUUCUGUACCUUCCACUUCCCAGUCAUCAUUUCCUGGUGCUCGUCCUGGUACUGGGUCAGCGUUGGGUCCUUCAAAAUUUACUUACAGGUCUCUCUUAGCUGACAUCAUUCAGCCCCAGGACUUGAAGGAGCUUUGCUCAGUGUUAGUGGUAUAUUCAGGAGAGGCUGCCAAAAUGCUUGCAGAGGAAAGAAAUACUGCGGAGAAGCAGGCAGAGGACUGCAGCGAAUGCUCACUGCCUUCAUCAACACAAGAUAACCAUCAAAGCCAAAAGGAUCAUGGGAUUAUGAAACCUUUGACUGAUGAUGUCUUAAGUGGAGACCAUGCCAAGAAGGCUAGCCCUGACACAUCUGUUUCAGAUGAAGUUGAUGUAUCAAAAAGAAGGCCAAUGUCUCCCAGUACAUUAGCACUGAUGUGUGACGAGCAAGAUAUGAUGUUUACCACCACUACAGUUAAUGGAUUAGUGGACCAUAGUACCGUGUCUUCCCAGUUGCAGCAAGGGAAAUGCCUCACUGAAGCCUAUAUAGAGCAAGAAAGAAUUGUUUUGACAAAAUUCCGUGAUUGUCUUAACCGUCUCGUCACGUUAGGAGAAAUAAAAGAAACGAAGUAUUCUUUGCUGUCACGACCAGAUGAAACAGAAAUAACCAGCAAUGACACUAUAAAUAUGAGAAGUGAAAGCAGGACUCAACAGCCUAUUAACAAUGGUGUUGCAAAAAUUACUGCCAUGCCACUCAUGACAUCUCCGACGGCUACUGCAAUAUCUCCCAGUAAUGACAACCACAAUUUGAUAAUAUCAUCCCCUUCUGAAAUGGGGGUGUAAACUCACGAACUGAAAAGGAGGUCUAAAAAGAGUUGAAGGUCCUAAACAUGCUGCUGCAUCUUUUGCCGUGCUAGUUCAAGGUAGUUUGUUGAGCCUAGAUGGCUUGCAUUGGUCUCCGCAUGAGCUGAUUUUAUUGAUGCGACACAUCGAAGUCGGAUUUAAUCACUACAAUAUAACAGUGGUGUAAAAGUGUGUUGGAUUGGGUUGGAUAGACACAUGGUGACUAGCUCAACAUUUGGCACUGGGUUGUGGCUGGCCACCUUUGAAGGCAAGCUGUGUCUAGCUUAGUCUGAGCCAGCAGGAGCAAGAAAAAAAUAAUUUUGCUACUUGUACAGAAAUUGGGUUAUAGAUUUGUUGAUAGAAUAUGAGAUGACAAUUUUUUGUCCCUUGACUUGAAUGAAUGAAAUUGAAAUUAAGGGCCAAAUAACUGCCACCUCAUUUCUGUCGACAAAUUUGUACAGAAUUUAGCAGUUCUUUUUG